rnacentral:rRNA from 1 species
AACUUUCAACAACGGAUCUCUUGGCUCUCGCAUCGAUGAAGAACGCAGCGAAAUGCGAUAAGUAAUGUGAAUUGCAGAUUUCAGUGAAUCAUCGAAUCUUUGAACGCACCUUGCGCCCUGUGGUAUUCCGCAGGGCAUGCCCGUUUGAGUAUCA